GACCGGGAGGACAUGCUGUAACCGCCCAGAAACAACACCAACAGCUCACCAACGAAAUCGGGAAUGAACUUCCUACCAUAUAUAGCGGUCUCGGUCCUUCUCCUGCUGUGUCACUGCGAACUUGGACAUGCCCAGUGGGCACAGACGUUUGGAUGGGGAGGCGCAGGCAACGGUAAAAGGAGCGAUAUGAGUAAUCCGACAGCGUGCAACAUGGACCUACAAUUAGUUAAACUGAUGUCAGCGUUAAUACAGCACGAAUUAAAACGACUGAAGACAUGUAGUGAAGAGAAACUCCCCCGGGACAUAUUGGAAAUAUAGAGGGGUCAGGAGCUGAGGGACACUGAAUUAUUCAAAAAAUGACAAAAGCUAUCUCCUCCAAAGCUUCACACCAGGAUACCGAUCUUUCCAUUACUGGUAUGGUGGUUUGUUUGGUGAACUUUCCGAAUGUAUAUAUAAUAAAGACAAAGUGGAAUGGAAUUGCCACACAUGCUGUAUAGCUAGUAUACAUUGUACGGAUACAACAAAGAUGUUUUACUUGUUGCGAACUGUCCCCCGAAAAAAAAUAUAUAUUAACAAAAAUACAUAUGUUUAUAUACCAAG